rnacentral:lncRNA from 1 species
AAAACAUUAAAAAUCUGAACUUAAUUGCAAUAAAUUGAUGCUAAAUAUUUAUAAAAAGCCAAUUCAAACAUACAUACAUACAUACAUACAUACAUACAUACAUACAUAUAUAUAUAACUAUACAAUAGCAAAAGUUCCAUCAGCUGCUAUGAAACCAGAAAAAAUCAAAAUGAUGAAAGAAGGAAAUAGUAUUUGUACUAAUCCUAGAAACAGUAAUUGCACUUCCUCUUAUUUUACUAGCAUAUUACUUAAAUAACUUCCAUUCCCAGAUUGUGUCUAAUGUGGUAGUGCAUCUUCAUUAAAGGUCAUCAGCUUAUAUGUCAGUAAUAAUGAAAAAUAAAAAUUCUUUAGAAUUUAUAUGUCAUAAAUAAUUUCUUUAUUAUUAUAAUUUGCUUUAUUUCAAA